UACAGAGGGUGCAAGCGUUGUUCGGAAUUACUGGGCGUAAAGCGCGUGUAGGCGGUUUUUCAAGUCCUGUGUGAAAGCCCUGGGCUCAACCCAGGAAGUGCGCAGGAUACUGGAUGACUGGAGUGGCGGAGAGGAUGGCGGAAUUCCCGGUGUAGAGGUGAAAUUCGUAGAUAUUGGGAAGAACACCGGUGGCGAAGGCGGCGACCUGGUCCUUGACUGACGCUGAGGCGCGAAAGCGUGGGGAGCAAACAGG
rnacentral:rRNA from 1 species